GAGGAAGCCGGUGCGAAUCCGGCGCUGUCCCGCAACUGUCACCGGGGAGCGGACCCCAGCACGGCCACUGCGCGAGCGGGAAGGCCGGGGCGAGCGUCGAUCCGGAAGCCAGGAGACUC
rnacentral:ncRNA from 2 species